UACGUAGGGUGCGAGCGUUGUCCGGAUUUAUUGGGCGUAAAGAGCUCGUAGGCGGUUUGUCGCGUCGUCUGUGAAAUCCCACGGCUCAACUGUGGGCUUGCAGUCGAUACGGGCAGGCUAGAGUUCGGUAGGGGAGACUGGAAUUCCUGGUGUAGCGGUGAAAUGCGCAGAUAUCAGGAAGAACACCCGUGGCGAAAGCGGCUCUCUGGAACGGUACUGACGCUGAGACGCGAAAGCGUGGGGAGCGAACAGG
rnacentral:rRNA from 1 species